rnacentral:rRNA from 1 species
UACGGAGGAUGCAAGCGUUAUCCGGAAUGAUUGGGCGUGAAGCGUCCGCAGGUGGCUGUGUAAGUCUGCUGUCAAAGAGCGAAGCUCAACUUCGUAAAGGCAGUGGAAACUACACGGCUAGAGUGCGUUCGGGGCAGAGGGAAUUCCUGGUGUAGCGGUGAAAUGCGUACAGAUCAGGAAGAACACCGGUGGCGAAGGCGCUCUGCUAGGCCGCAACUGACACUGAGGGACGAAAGCUAGGGGAGCGAAUGGG